UCCCGAGUAGCUCAGCGGUAGAGCAGCUGACUGUUAAUCAGCGGGUCAUAGGUUCGAAUCCUAUCUCGGGAGCCA
rnacentral:tRNA from 4 species